rnacentral:lncRNA from 10 species
GGCAUUUUCAAAACCCUCCUGGCUGGGCGUGAUCUCCAGAGAUCCCAGUCCUACUGGUCUCUGUGGCUCAGCCCUCCCUCCCAUCCAGGGUGUCUGAGAGAGCUGCUGGUGAGUCCUGCAGAUGCUUCGAGCUUGAAUCCAUUGGUCUGUGUGGCACGUAGUGCAACCCUGGAGAGGCGUGCGGAGAGGGAGAAUGAGAUCGAGACAGAUCCUGUGGGCACGCGUGGAGGAGUCACCAGAUGCAUUCCUGCCCAGCUGUCUCCUCUAGCUUUGCAGUUCCAGGGCUGAACCGAGGCAGCCACCACCCACCACACGGUGACUCCAUGUUUCAAAGAGCCCAGAUUUGGCAGAAGGAAGCUUGGCUUGAGGCCCCAUUUGCCAGGUGACUGCGGAUAAGUCCCUCCAUAACCCACAAAGUGGGAAAAGUGCCCAUUACAUCAUUAUGCAAAGACAAUAUUCAUGAAAGCACUUUAUGAAGUGUGAAAGUACAAGCUUUGAAAAUAUUAAUACUUAAAGUCUUUCCAUCUACCCCUAGUGGUCUGUAAGGGUCUUCACAGUUUUUAAGGCAGUUUGUGUAUCUGAGCGUCUUUGUGCCAAGUCUGUAUUUCAGUGUCUUCCUUCAUCAUUAGCAUAGUAAUAUUGCAGCAGCAAAUCAUGGGUUGGGAGAGAGGUCUUAGAAGCCAAGAACAAUGGAGAUUCAUGAUAUGUUUGUCCAAGUUCACGGGACUUGCCAGCACCACUGGCACUGAGUUUUCUAAAUGGAAAAAGAUGAGCUACCUUGCAUCUCCCCUGUGACAUGCUCUGUGGAGCCCUAAGCAGGACAAAAUGAGCCAGUGAAGAGAAGUGCGUAUGCAUCUCAUUAAAAUUCUGCAUUAAGCCUGAACUUGCAACCUCUUACAACGCCUCUCUGUGACACUAAAUGUGGAGAAUAUUCACAUUUUGUUCACCGGAAAAUGAGGGCUGGAAACAGAGACACAAGUGGUGUGAACUGCUCCCGACUUAUGUUUCACCCUUCAUCUGCCUGGCAGCCUCCCCACAGUGUCCCUUCUCGUCUCCCCUUCACCUCCUCCCUCACCUCCUAGCCUUUUCUCAGUUCCUCCCACUCUAUUUUCUCUCCUCGUUCCCUGUCUGUGUCAGGAAGCUCGGGCCAUGCUGAUUUACACAACUCUGUGCUGCAGGAGCCACCUUGCUCCCUGCCUCGUGUAGCUUAUGGCCUAUGGUUCGUUUUAUUUUAAUUUUAUUUAUUCAACAAACAUUCCUAAGGUUUACAGUUUGCUGAGAGCAUGUUUGGUUUACAGAGACAAGUAAGAGGCUUUCCUGUUCAGGGACUCAGCAUCUGAGCAGACACUGGGUGCUCUAAAGUGGCACUGCUGAGUGCAUGUCUGGGAAGUGCCUGUGAGUUCAGCGAAUCCAGCAGGGCUGUCUCGGUUGCCCUCAGACCGAGAACCUGUGACACUGGUGGGGUGAGGAAUGAGCCGUGGCCACUGCCGAAAACUCUGUCGGCUCCUAGAUAAGUCCCACCGAAGGGGCAUUGGUGACCUCCUUGGUGCCACAGAAUCUCCUGCUCCAGCCCUGCUGUAGACCUGUGGCUCUAGGUUACUUGCUUUAUUAUGACCCGUUGCCCUCAGCUGCCUUCAACCUCUCGGUAGGUGAGUGUCAUGUUCUGUUCAUUUCUGCAACCCAAGUACCAGGUGUAGCACCUGGUGUGUGGCAGAUGCUUUGUAGAUGUUUGCUGGACUCCUAAAAGCAGCAUUGCGUCGGGUGGAUUGUGGAGCCCAUGGCACAUGUGGAUUGCACGGUGCUCUCCACCCUAAAGCAGUGGUCCCCAAGCUUUGUGGCACCAGGGACCAGUUUCAUGGAAGACAAUUUUUCUAUGGACCUGGUGGUGGGGGGAUGCUUUCAGGAUGAUUCAAGCACAUUAUCUUUAUUGUGUACUUUAUUUCUAUUAUUAUUACAUUAUAAUAUAAUUAUACAAGUCAUCUCAUGUAGAAUCAGUGGGAACUCUGAGCUUGUUUUUCUGCAACUAGAGGGUCCCAUCUGAGGGUGAUGAGAGACAGUGACAGAUCAUCAGGCAUUAGGUUCUCAUAAGGAGCAUGCAACUUAGAUCCUUCCUGUGCACAGUUCACAAUAGGGUUUGUGCUCCCAUGAGAAUCUAAUGCCACCACUACUCUGAGAGGAGAGAGCUCAACUGGUAACAUGGGCAAUGGGGAACAGCUGGAAAUACAGAUGAAGCUUUGUUCACUCACCUGUCACUCACCUGCUGUGUGGCCCAGUUCCUUACAGGCAACAGACCAGUACUGGUCCAUGACCCGGGGGUUGGGGAUCCCCGAUCUGAUGUCCCCUGCAGUGCUCUGAUCAGUGGAACUGGCUUGGUGACAGAGACAGUUGUACAGAGGCACUUAAAAAUAUCCAAAUAGAGAAUAAAGCAUUUCUCAUCACUUGUGGUUAAAAGUGGCUGUUUCCAGGUGAUAGGUUGUUUGGCUUGGAAGAGAGUCUGGUACCCAGCCCAGGCCUUCCCGUGGGACCUUCAGGAGAGAGAAGGCCCCAUCCCAGAGUGUGCCUCAUUGAACAAGGAUUUUGAGGAAUGGCAGCUGCAGGAGAAGCUCUAAGAAGUCGCCCUUUUGGAAGGGGAAUUUACCUCUGUGAAGGAAUCUCUACCUGCCGGGUGUCUCCUCUGGGAUCCAGGAAGAAGAGGGAAACUCAGUUACAAGAGACACUUGUUGAGGAGAAAGCUCUAUUACAAGCCCACAGCAAGUUGUGGCCUUGGUCACCUGCCUUUCUGGUCACCUCCCCGUUGCCGGCCACCCCCAUCUUCUUUCUUUAUUUUAGUUGAAGAUAAGCUAGGGUUCUGGGCCACCUCCUGCAGAUUUGUGCGUCUUCCCCUGGAGUUUGCCACCCACGCAUGAGGUGUGUGGAUUAAUAAACUUCUGUUUUUCUCUUGUUCAUCUGCCAUGGGUUACAGGCGUCCAGUUUUUCUUCUCCUACAGGGAAACAAUUUGCUCCACUGGGAAGAGGGGAAAAGGCCACAGAAAGGCAAGUUGACCAG